rnacentral:rRNA from 1 species
UACGUAGGGCGCAAGCGUUAUCCGGAAUUAUUGGGCGUAAAGAGCUCGUAGGCGGUUUGUCGCGUCUGCCGUGAAAGUCCAGGGCUCAACCCUGGAAAGCGGGUGGAUACUGCCGGGCUAGAAUCCGGAAGAGGCGAGUGGAAUUCCUGGUGUAGCGGUGGAAUGCGCAGAUAUCAGGAGGAACACCGGUGGCGAAGGCGGGUCUCUGGGCCGAUACUGACGCUGAGGAGCGAAAGCGUGGGGAGCGAACAGG